rnacentral:rRNA from 1 species
UACGUAGGGGGCUAGCGUUGUCCGGAAUCAUUGGGCGUAAAGAGCGUGUAGGCGGCUCGGUAAGUCCGCUGUGAAAGUCCAGGGCUCAACCCUGGAAUGCCAGUGGAAACUGUCGAGCUAGAGUCCGGAAGAGGCGAGUGGAAUUCCUGGUGUAGCGGUGAAAUGCGCAGAUAUCAGGAGGAACACCAAUGGCGAAGGCAGCUCGCUGGGACGUUACUGACACUGAGGCGCGAAAGCGUGGGGAGCGAACAGG